GCCAGGCACUGGGCCUGUAGGGAUGUGUAGGAACUGCUUCUGAACAGCCCCGAAUAUCGAUGACCACACCCUGUUAACCUCAGGAGGUGAGUAUGCAGAGGGCUGUCCUGUGCCGAUGGCCUCUGUUUAUGCAGACAGGCAGGGCUUUGCAGGGUCUGGCUUGACCCCAGAAAGUUCUGGAAUGCGCUCUACACUCAGCAACCCAGUUUUACUCUUUACCAGCCUUCUCCAUUCCCAGCUGCUCAAGGGGGUGAGGAUGUGGCCAUUCUAGCCCUCUGUGGGGCAGGUGUCCCUGGGCUCCAACGUGUCCCUGAAUGGGUAGCCUUCUUACCUGGCCUGAACUUGGGCUCCGAUUUCCUGAUUAUGCCGCAGCAGCAGUGACAACAGUAACAGUAACUUACUGAGCUUGUACUAGUACCACCCCCCCCCCCCCCCCCAACACCGCUCCUGGGACAAUGAAUCCCACCAGCCCCUUCUUCCCCAGGGCAUACCUGGUGAUGGCCCCACCCCAACGGGAUACACCAGCUUCCUCUGCCCGCCCCCAGCAGCAGUCCCUUGAGGUUCAAAGGUUUAACAACUGAGGUUUCUACCAUUUAGAAGAGAGGACCCCAACCCGAAGCAGUGACAUGUAACCAGUGGUGCACAUUAGAACAGACAUUGGUGAGUGGGGGUGAGGGAUUAGCUAGAGUGAGCACGGUAGAGGGGGAGAUGACAAAUAGAUAGAGGGCUAGGGCGAGGCCCUUGAUUUCACACAGACUCACAGUCCUGACUCAUCAAGGAGAAGGGAUGGGGGGGGGGUGUUAUGCAAGUCCUCCCAAGUGGCACCAAGUGAUGACGAUUUUGGGGAGGCACGGGAUAUCACAAGAGAAAGCAGGUGGCUGCCAUGGGGACAGGUAAAGGGGACGCCACAGUAAGGGUGGGAGCAUGAGUCAGUGAAGGUGGGGCUGGUGGAGACUAAGGGAGCUGCAGCUUCGAGCCCCAGUGGUACACCUGACUGAGCCCAUCGCCUGGACUCAUGGACAUCAGGGAGCCAAGACAUGAAUGUUAUGGACAAAAUCAUCUUAAGGCUCCAGCAGAUUAAAUGAAUUAAUUAGUAAAUGAGGGGCUUCAGGAAAGGUUUCCUUAGGACAGUGAACUCCAAGGAGUGUGUUCUGGAGCGCCCAUCCUGUGAGACCCUCCUUGUGGUCAAAUUUGGGAAGGCCACUGGGCUUUCGCUUUCCUAUGGCAGCCUCACAACACACAUCACCACAUUAAAGGCUCUGAAAAGUCCUGUGGUAACAAAAGCUACUUAACUUGUCUCACUCAGCAUUUCCCACAUUCAUUUGGCCACAAAAUUAAAAAAAAAAAACAAAAAACAAUCCCAUUAAUAUCCCUCAGAGGAAUCCCGACCCACACUUUGUCAAGUGCUGAUACAGAGGGAUUGGUAAAAGUGGGAUGUCUCUUCUGUGUCAGGGGUCUUCUGUGUUGCCCUCCCCCCACCCAUCAUAUCACAUCAGCCCCUGAUCAGACCCUUGGGGCUCUUUGGCUAAACAUCCUAGAAACAUUCUCUGCAAACUUGACUCUAAGUCCGGCCCUUGCCUGGCCCCGAGCCAUGAAGGAUGUGAAGAGAAGACUUACAGGGGCAGGGGCGUUUGAAGGACAUGUAAUCCUUGGAGCAAAAUAGCGGAGCCAGCCUGCCCACUUGUACAGUUCCAACUUCUUGUAGAAAAGGAUCCUCCGCUCACCUGCAGAAACACAAACAGACAGAUCAUGGCAUUCUGAGCAUUUUAUACCUGGAAGGACCCUUAAAGACCAGCCCAAUGUCCUCAUAUCACAGAAGGGGAACAGACGUAGAAAGGAUGAAUCCAAGACCUAUCUUUGGAGAGCCUGAACUCAGAAGUCCAAGUCCUGUCACUUCCUGGAGUGUGCCUCUAGGCACAGUACUUCACCUGUCUGAGCUGCAGUGUCCUCAGGAGGAAAUCAGGGUAGGGCACUUCACUGGCUUUGAGGAUGGGGGGGGGGGUGGGUACGUAUGUCAUGUUCAUUCUGUUGUCCGAGGGGGUCAGGGGGAGGGAGCCAUUGCUGCCACUGACCCUGGGGUCCCUCUCUCCAGAUGGCUCCUUGCGGCUCAGUCUUCUGGGUGUGAACCCCAGGUGGCCUGAUGCAUAUUCCCCAUCCCUAGAGAAACCAACAAGAGUUUUGAUGGGGGAAUGGAGGGUAGGAUGUGAUCUCCCUUGGCCCAGUAGAGAAGUCUCUCUGGCAUGGCAGGCUGCUUGGGGAACUGUGAUUUCACACCAGAAAAUUCUGAAGAGUCUCAGGGCCUGGGAUCUAUACUUUCUAAAAUACAUGUGUGUACAUGUAUCUGUGUUCACGUUUGUGGGUAUGCCCGUGUGCACUGUGGCCACGUGUGUGUCUGGAGGGAGACUUAAGCAGGCUGACAGGCCAUCUUUCAUGCUGCUUCCAGAGAGGUCUUUCUUAAAGGCACAAUGGAUCAUGUCAUUCUUUUGCCGAAAACCCUUCCAUAAAUCCUCAGUGUCCCUAGGAAAAUGAACUGGCUUCUACCACUACUUCCACCGCCCUGGUGCUCUGCCUGCCUCUCUAGUGAACUGGUGUAAUGUGAGUGCUUAAUAAAAAUAUGCUGCAUGUA